rnacentral:sRNA from 1 species
GCGAUGAGCUGUUUUGCAUAAGACGAGAUUGACGCGCCUUUUAGGCAAUGCACUAUGUGGAGUGCUGUCUCUCGCCGCAAAUAUUCGGAAGGCGUCCUUUAGAGGGCGUCUU